AAAGGAAUUGACGGGGGCCCGCACAAGCGGUGGAGCAUGUGGUUUAAUUCGACGCAACGCGAAGAACCUUACCAGGGUUUGACAUCCCCUGACAGCCGAGGAAACUUGGUUUUCUACCUUCGGGUAGACAGGGUGACAGGUGGUGCAUGGUUGUCGUCAGCUCGUGUCGUGAGAUGUUGGGUUAAGUCCCGCAACGAGCGCAACCCCUACGUUUAGUUGCUAACGCGUGAAGGCGAGCACUCUAAAGGAACUGCCGUUGACAAAACGGAGGAAGGUGGGGAUGACGUCAAAUCAUCAUGCCCCUUAUGUCCUGGGCUACACACGUGCUACAAUGGCCGGUACAAAGGGCAGCGAAGUCGCGAGGCGGAGCUAAUCCCAAAAAGCCGGUCUCAGUUCGGAUUGCAGGCUGAAAUUCGCCUGCAUGAAGUCGGAAUCGCUAGUAAUCGCAGGUCAGCAUACUGCGGUGAAUACGUUCCCGGGCCUUGUACACACCGCCCGU
rnacentral:rRNA from 1 species